GACGUUUUUUUCGGUUGAACAAUAUAUAGAUCUCUGAGCCUUAUUGCGCCUCAUACAUCAUAUCACCAGGUUGAUGCUGUGCGUGAAUGCAUAAAGGAGCAGAUCCUUUCACAUGUUCAAGGAUACCAUCUUGGCCUGGUGUGAGUACGCCUAAAGAAACUGACUGCAGGGAAAACAACCUUCUAUGCAGAGUAAAAGUCAGUGUCCUAUUGCAUCAUUUUGGAGUGGGCCUGUUACAUCUCGGUAGUGGCGUGAGGCACUGUGUCACCAGAAAAACAAUUCUUCUGUGUGGCUGAGUUCAAAUACAGGUCAGUUAUGUAAAUAAAACAUUUUUCAUGUUUUUUGGCAGGGGGGUUUGGGGCUUUAUUGUAACACUUAACACUGAACUCCCAAUAUCAUUUCCUUUCCAUAUGUUCAUUCAUUCAUUCA